rnacentral:rRNA from 1 species
UCGGACGGGCUUGAGGGGCAACUCUCAGGUCAGUGGCGAACGGGUGCGUAACACGUGAGCAAUUUGCCUUCAGGUGGGGGAUAGCCGGCCCAACGGCCGGGUAAUACCGCAUAUCGCCCCGGGGUCUCAUGACUCUGGGGUCAAAGCAGCCGCAAGGUUGCGCCGGAAGAGGAGCUCGCGGCCUAUCAGCUAGUUGGCGAGGUAACGGCUCACCAAGGCUACGACGGGUAGCUGGUCUGAGAGGAUGGCCAGCCACAUUGGGACUGAGAAACGGCCCAGACUCCUACGGGAGGCAGCAGUGGGGAAUAUUGCGCAAUGGCCGAAAGGCUGACGCAGCGACGCCGCGUGUGGGAUGAAGGCCUUCGGGUUGUAAACCACUGUCGGGGGGGGCGAAUACUUGGGCCUCGUAAGGGGAUCCAGGGGUGACGGUACCCCCAAAGGAAGCACCGGCUAACUCCGUGCCAGCAGCCGCGGUAAUACGGAGGGUGCGAGCGUUGUCCGGAAUCACUGGGCGUAAAGGGCGCGUAGGCGGUUUGGUAAGUCACUUGUGAAAUCCCGGUGCUCAACGCCGGGGCUGCAGGUGAGACUGUCAGACUAGAGCUCGGUAGAGGCAAGUGGAAUUCCCGGUGUAGCGGUGGAAUGCGUAGAUAUCGGGAAGAACACCGGUGGCGAAGGCGGCUUGCUGGGCCGAUGCUGACGCUGAGGCGCGAAAGCGUGGGGAGCAAACAGGAUUAGAUACCCUGGUAGUCCACGCUGUAAACGAUGGGUA